rnacentral:rRNA from 1 species
CCCUGGCUCAGAUUGAACGCUGGCGGCAGGCCUAACACAUGCAAGUCGAACGAUGACUAACUAGCUUGCUAGUUAUGAUUAGUGGCGGACGGGUGAGUAACAUUUAGGAAUCUGCCUAGUAGUGGGGGAUAGCUCGGGGAAACUCGAAUUAAUACCGCAUACGACCUACGGGUGAAAGGGGGCGCAAGCUCUUGCUAUUAGAUGAGCCUAAAUCAGAUUAGCUAGUUGGUGGGGUAAAGGCCUACCAAGGCGACGAUCUGUAACUGGUCUGAGAGGAUGAUCAGUCACACCGGAACUGAGACACGGUCCGGACUCCUACGGGAGGCAGCAGUGGGGAAUAUUGGACAAUGGGGGCAACCCUGAUCCAGCCAUGCCGCGUGUGUGAAGAAGGCCUUUUGGUUGUAAAGCACUUUAAGCAGGGAGGAGAGGCUAAUGGUUAAUACCCAUUAGAUUAGACGUUACCUGCAGAAUAAGCACCGGC